CUGGUUUCCUCCCUCAUCCCAGCUGUGCUGGACGCCGAAGGCUGACGUCUGCAAGCUGCUCACGGCCUGUUAGGGAAAGACAGAUACUAAAAAAACCCUACAGGAUCUGACUGAAAGAAUGAAAAGGAAAUGCGAUCAAAAGCUGGGGGCAGAGAGCACAGAGGGGGAUCCAGCUCUUUGUGGGCCACCUGGAGGAGGUGGGAAUUACGCGGUUGUUUGGAGACCUGGCAGAGGUUCGAUGGGCGAUGGGCGGGUGGGACACAAUCAGAAACCGUUGGGGACGGAAAACUGAUAGCGCUUGGUGCCUGCUGACAGCAGCAGAGAGGGGAGACUGCUAGGCAGUUCCCAGGUUUUCAUGAGAUUUCGAGUAAAUGGGGAGAGAGAAACUACUCCCCACACCCCCCCCCCCCCCGCCGCACCCCAGUCCCCCAGGCAGUGUGUGGAUUCUAUGAGGCGAUGUUUGGGCCCCGCCAACACACAGUAGGAUCCCCAUAAAUGUUAGCUCGUUGUCUCCUGGGACGGGUAAGUUCUAAAUUUAUUGUUGGGAAAUUAAAUGAAGACAUCGGGGUUACGGCAUGGCUAAGUUUGCAGCUGAACUUUGGUUGGAUUACUGCUGCGCUGCCUUUGGCUGAUGAAGCUGGGCCUUUCUUGCUGAAGUUGUUCUCAGCAGAUUUAGCUCUGCUAAGCCUCUUUUUUUUACGUGGCCUUAUGGGGGACUGACAAGUCGAUUAUCAUAAGAGACUGGGUGGAGGGGGGGAUGGUAAGAAGGAAACGUUGCAUCUGAUGGCACAGGGUCAUUCGUGUUUUGUGUGAAGGUUGCAAGCAGAGGUUUUGGUUCUGCCCAGAGGAACCCUCUCUCUCCCUGGGGGUGGCUUUGCCUGUCGAUUAUCAGCAGUAGGGGGCUCUUGGCUACGCCUCUCAGGGGCCCAGUUCCUCUGAUAGCACUGGGGUCCCCGCCCUCGUCACCGUUUUGCUGGGGCAGGAAAACGGCUCUGUGUCCGCUGGGCCUCCUGCUUCUUUCCGAUUCCAGCACUCGGACUGCCUUCAGAUAUCCAGCAGCGGAGAGGUCCCUGUUACCGCCUGUCCCUCCUCCCGGCAUUUGAACCCCGGAAUCCCAGGCACCCAGGGUCCCUCUGGUCCCUCGCCCAAGACUGCCCAGGGCUAACAGGGCCGCCUGCCCAACCAGGAGAGAUUUCCCAAUUCAGAUGAGCUGGCUCGUUCCGUUCGCAGGUGCGAGGCCGGUGGGGGAGGGCGGGGGUGGCGAGCUCCCGGCCCUUUGGCAGUGACACUGCCUCUAAGGAGAGGGGCGGGUGGGGACCAGGAGGGGGAAACUCAAUCACUGUUGCAGGAGAAGGGAGGAGGCUUUUAGUCAAAGUGCCCGUCACCGGGGGCAGCUGAUAGCAUCGCCCGCCCUGGUCUGGUUACACCUCCCUGCCUCCCCAGAGCGCUAAUGAGAAGCCCGAAGUGGACACCAGAGAAGGUGGUCCCCACAAGCGGGCGGCGGGGGGGGGGCGGUGCUGGGACACAGGGCAGGGGGAGGCAGGGAGGGGGGCGUAGGAUUCCAGAAAAAGCAUUUUGUAGUUUUGCUUCAACUCAUUCCCUUCCCCAGUGAUGGAGAUGGCUUCCUUCUCUUUGAAGUGCCUGAGAAAAGGGCCAUUUCUUUUCAGGACACGAUGUUCUGUUUCUUCCAGGACAGAGAAGGCAUGGAGCCUUUCUCCGCUAUGCCAAUUGUGGCUUGCAUUUGGCCCUGCCCUUGCUGGACAGUUGCGGGGCCUUCUCUUCCCUUCGAUCAGCCACUGGUUACUGAGGGCAUGUGACAGCCACGCUCUGGCCAAACCCUAUUGCAAACCCCUCUCCAGCCUGGUGGCAAGGGAGACCGGGACCCUGGGAUUCUGGAUGAGUCCAUUUAAUUCUCUGUUCGUUGAUGUAGAACUAAAGUCAGAUGCCUCUUGCUGUGCAGUGUCACGUUUCCCCCCAAAAGGAGACAUUUCUUCCUUCCUUCCUUCCUUCCUUCCUUCCUUCCUUCCUUCCUUCCUUCCUUCCUUUUUCUUUUUCUUCUUUCUCCUUUCUUUCUUUCUUUCUUCUUUCUUUCUUUCUUUCUUUCUUUCUUUCUUUCUUUCUUUCUUCUUUCCUUCCUUUCUUUUCUCUUUUCUUUCUUUUCUCUUUUCUUUUCUUUUCUUUUCUUUUCUUUUCUUUUCUUUUCUUUUCUUUUCUUUCUUUUUGGAAUGGAAUGUUUUCUCUAGGCCUAGCGCUAAUUAAAUGCUUCCCAUGCAUUAUCUCAUGGGUCCUCGAAAUAAUCCUACCCUGAUGGGCAUAGCUUUUCAUCCUCCACUGUGCAGAUAAGGAAACUGAGGUAUAGAGAGGUUAAGUCACAUGCCCAAGGUAGUGACAUAGCUGAGGUGCGAGAUAACCUAAGCUUUCUGACUCCCAAGCCUUUUGACCCAAAAGUGUCACUGAGUGAGUAUCUGGUAUCUGUCACCACUUAUGACUUGCGACAACCGCCCCCUCCCCACCUUUUCUUCAUCCGCUCAUCUUACUGAAGUAGCUACACCCUCCGUCAGUGCUGGGGACGGAGAUGUGCAAGAGGAAGGCUCUGUGACUGAGGAUGUGAGGUUCUGGAGGGGUGCUGAACCCAGCGCUCCCACCAAAGGGGACCCCAGUGCUGUAGGAACACGGAUGAAAGAAGGCUGACCGCCCAGGCCGAUGAGUCAGGGCGGCUACAAGGAAGCUUCCAGAGAGGCCCAGCAUGGCCAGAGGCCCUGCAGGGGGUUGGAGGGUGGUCAUUAUGGGGGGACCUGGGGUGGGCUGCACGGAGCCAAAUCAGGAAGGGCCCCCCCUCCUCGGGGCUGGGGGGGGCGGGGUUGGGCUUUAACGAGUGUUUGCAGCUUACCUCACUGUAAGGGCCCUUCUAUUUCCAGACCUGGUGUGAGCGCCAUCCCUCCACCCCUACUCUGUUUGCAGGUGUUUUUUUCUCCCUGGUCUCUACAUGGGCUACGUUCCUCCCAGGCUGGAAGGAAAUCCCCUGGGAGUUCCAGGCCUGCAUCGGGGCGUGUGCUCUGCUGGGGAACAAGAGCCCGGGCCGGGCCACUGUCAGGCUGACUCCAGCCCCGGGGGCUGCUGAAGCACACAGAUGCCUCCGAAGAGCUCUGCAUGGGGUCUCCUUGCCACACCGGACCCGUGUUUCAUUUUCCAUGCAGGAAGCGUUUGGUGGUUGGUUUUUUUUUUUUUUUUCCCCCACCAUCCAAAAAAAUGCAACAUGUUGAGGGAAUUUAGUUCAGGCAAGGGAAGAACUUGGAGAGGAAACGUCAAGGCUUUGCCUGAGGAUUUGUCCGCAUGGUUUCUACGGGACAAGCCAUCAUAAUCAUGCACGGAAAGCAUCUGUAGAGCCUGGGGAGGUCCCUUCUCCAUGUGCCCCAUUCAGUUGGGGAGGCACCAAGGCCCUGAUUAAAAAUGAAAAUUAUGAAACGCCAUGGGCAGUUUUGAGUUACUUUGAAUGAUUUGUGUCGGUCCUUUGCGGGUCUCCCCGACGCUCAUGGCUCAACGGACUCGGAGUCAGCUGACCCAGGUUUCUCAGCUACGACGCUAUUGGCAUGUGGGGCUGGAUAAAUUUUUGUUGCAGGGGCUGUCUUGUGGAUUAUAGGAUGUUCAGCUGCGUCCCUGGCAUCUACACGCCAGACACGAAUAGCGGCACCCCGCCGCGACAACCCAAAACAUCUCCAGACUUUGCCGCAGUUCCCCGGAGGACAAAGUCACCCCCGCGUGAGAACCACUAGUUUCCCCUUUAUUCUACGCUUCGCCAUGUUAUUUCUCAGUUGCACGGUCUUUGGCGAGUUACCCAAAACUCCAAGAACCCCAGUUUACCCACUUGGACACUGGAGAUCACCGCAUCUGCCCUUCACGGUCACCGCGAGUUAACGCUGGUCGAAUGCUGACCGACCCCUUCACUCAAUUCCCAGAAAACCCGAGUCUGUCUUCCCCACCUCCAACCCAAUGUCCCGUGGUGUAGGAACCCCUUCCACCGUGCAUCCACAGGCUGGAUCUCCUCCGAGGUGUCCCUACAAUGAAAUGGCCAAAGUGAGCCACCUAAGAAGGGCAAGGGAGUGCGCUCCCUCGAUAAUUUGCUGGGUGUGCCUGCUCUGUGUGCUUCCGCGGCUCGGCGUCUCUUUGGAGGCAGGCACUGCGAGCUGGCCGCUGGCCCCCGUAACAGACAGGGUUUGCUCUGAGUUCGUUUGCCUCCAAUCCCCAUUCUUCCUUGUCUACUUUCCACACAUUCAGGAUUAGAAGUUUGUUUGUCUGUUUGUGUUCUAUCUUGGAACCUUGCUCUCUAUGUCCUUCGUUCCCUCCCUCUCUGGCUUGCGCAGUGCACAAAUGGUUAAGGGCAUUCGGCCUGGCUGCCUCCCCAGUCCCUGUAGACUACCUUGGAGGGACUGAAUGAAAUUGAUAGUCCUAACAUUACAUCGCUCAACUCCCCAAAGAAAGAGUAGCUGGGCGGAUAGAAGGAAUGACCCCGGAGAAAACAGCUGUCAAGGGCAGCUAUUGGUUUAUCUUUCACGGAAAGAGAGACAUAAUGAAUUCUAAAUUAAGAGCAACUGCAGGGAGAGUGUUUUCUCGGUCGGGCAGGGCUCCUGCCGCACACGCAGGCACUCCAGAAGUUCCGACUGCCGCCUCGCUUGCACGGAGUCCUGGGACCGUCUGUGAGCCUGACCACGUUUGGGGAAGGCUGUUGGCCUAUCUCGCAGACGAAUGCCCCCUAAAGGCCUGGGCGUCUGCGUGUUCGUGGCACGAGCACUGCCAGGGCAGGCCCAUCUGUGGAAGGUGGGCCGCACAUAAGCAGGGUCCGGAUCCAGGCUCCUUUACUGUGACUCUUCUCCCUCCUCCUUGCGUGUGCUUCUGCUUCUCCAGGAACAGGCAUCUGCAGGGGCUCUGUAAGGGAGGUCACGAGUUUAAGAAGGGGUCGGACUUUGUUGGCCAACCGACCCUGACUCAGAACUUGGCUCACUUACCUGUUACCUAUGUGACCCUCGGCAAGCUACAUCAUCUCUUGGAGACUCAGUUUCUUAAUCUUUAAGAUGGGGACAAAAUAACGCUAACACCUUUGAGAGUUUUUAGAAGUUUCAGACCCAAGGCAUAUGGAGCCUAGCUCACGAUGUCGCUCAGACCACUGGUCCAGGGACGGAAGCUGGAAUUCUUAUUUGCCAGUGAGAAGUAAGGUUCAGUGCCUGGAAGAGACUUGGGUGUUGUCUCCUGGCCAGGGAGUGGCAGAGCAGGGACUCAAGAACUAUGCUCUUGGGGCGCCUGGCUGGCUCAGUCGGUUAAGCGUCCGAUUUUGGCUCAGGUCGUGAUGUCACGGUUUGUGGGUUCGAGCCCCUCGUUGGGCUCUCUGCUCUAAGUGUGGAGUCUGCCUCGGAUCCUCUGUUCCCCUCUGUCUCUGCCUGUCCUCUGCUUGUGUUCUCUCUCUGUCUUUCUAAAAUAAACAAGCAUUUAAAAACAAACCCAGGGUCGCCUGGGUGGCUCGGUCGGUUGAGCGUCCGACUUCGGCUCCCGUCAUUAUCUCACAGCUCGUGAGUUCGAGCCCCGCGUCGGGCUCUGUGCUGACAGCUUGGAGCCUGGAGCCUGCUUCGGCUUCUGUGUCUCCCUCUCUCUCUGCCCCUAACCCACUCGCAUUCUGUCUCUGUCUCUCUCAAAAAUAAAUAGACAUUAAAAAAAAUUAAAAACAAACCCAAAAAAUUUUCUAAAAAAUAAAAAAAAAAAGAACUAUGCUCUUUCUCUCAGCCUGUGGCGGCCAAACUUUCAGACACAAAAGCACCAAGCAAACUGGCCUAUUGUGCUGAGAACAAGGAAUUAGAUCUUAGGAUGGGGUUUCUGCAUCCCUACCCAUGACAUGUGGGGAUCAGCACCGGGUGCCUACUUUAAUCCAGAUUCUUGGCACCUGGUCAGAUAGCAGCUUGUAUGGAGGACGGGAGUGUUUCUUCCACGAGCCUCCAGGAAGCAUAGUCGGGUUGGGACCUCACUGGUGAGAACGAUAAGAUCCCUCACCGAGGCAAAUCGGUUCACGUAUAAACGGUGCGUGUGGUCGGUGGUAAAGGCUAAAACCACGCCAUUAAUGGUAUUGAGUUAAUGCCCCACCUUGGGUAGCGAAAGGGCUAAGGAAAGUAAGCUUCAAAGCUGCUUGAAAACCACUGUUUUGACUCCAACAACGCUUCCAUUGCUUUAAGGUUCUCAGGUCUGAAAAGGCCCCGGGGGUGGGGAAGGGCAGCGACGGCCAGGCGGCGUGGACCGUAGCAGUGGACGGGGACAGUGGGAUCUGUCGGGUGUGGGCUCAAAGUUGGAGGCUGGCCGGAAGGGUCACGGUGUAGCCUGGCAGACAGAGUGCAAGCUCGGUAGCUCCAGACUCGCUCGGACUGUAGCUUUGACUCUGCUACUUGGCAGACAGGGUGGCUUUGCUCUAGAGCUUGGCCUCUUCGAGGCUCAGUGCUCUUAUCUGCAGAAUGGGAACGCAGCACCGAUCUCUAGACGGCUGAGGGAAUUGGGCGACGAGGCGAGGGCCUGGCGGACGCAGGCUCUGGUGUGAGGGUCACAGCUUCUCGGGGUGAGUCAGACGACUUGAGGCGGCCUCGCCCUUGACUUUCCCACGAGGCAACGUGCACAGCCCCCUUACAGUUGUUGCUUCUGUGGUCCAGUGAAUGGGGUAGGUAAAGGGUUCUCUGGGAGCGGGUCUUUCAGAUGUAGGAGGACAGGUGUUUCUGAUGUCCUGGGGACCCAGGCCUCCGUUUCAUCUGGCCUCUGCCCGCAUCCGAAAUGCCCCCCUCUCUCCCUCCCCCCGCUGUCUGGUCUUCAUUCUUCUUGGGACAUAUUAAGCUUGUUCUUGCCCCAGUGUCUUUGCACUGAUGAGCCUCUCUCGCUGGGGCAGUCUGUCUUGCUUCUUCUGGGCGGGCAGCUCCGGGGCCAGGCCCUGACUGAGAGGGAGCCCUCCCACGUGGCUGACUGUGAGGGCCGGGGGGACGCCUUCUAGGAGCUGUGUAUCCCGCAGCUCUCCUUCUGAGACCGCCCCAUCAGGGUGCCAUGUCAACCCUCCUUCCCCCGGAGCACGUGACCAUCUCAUUCCUGCUCUCGUGUGCUGGGUUGCACCUUCCGCCUGUCUCCCUCUUGCAGCCUGGUUCUCACGUUCACCGGGCGUUCUUCUUGCCCCUCUCCCCGGACUCGACCUCACAGAUUUGGCUCCAGGUCUGUGUUUCAUAUUCAGACCUUUCCUAAGGGGAGAAGGAGGGACAGAAUCAGCGCUGGCUUGGUCCCCUUCGCCUCCGCUCCAAACCUGGGCCUCUGCAUUCUCGUCCCGCUCUCUACCCCCUCAUGCAAACCGCCUUGGCACUCACAGGUGUUCCUGUGGUUAGCCCUCCAGGGCUGUAAGGCUUUGGGGAGAGAGCCAUGCUGGCCAAUGCCGUGAACUGGAGUUAGUCUGGCCAAGAAGACAGUGAUUGUUGUCCGUGUGACAGCCAGAGUCAUUUUCUAAGACCUGUGCUUGCUGCCGUGACAGACCCCGUUUGCACCAGAUUGGAGCUCAAGACCUUAAGUCUGGGUGGCUUGUCCUUCCGUGUCCCAGGACGUCACGUUACCUCUCCGCCUCGGGGUCACAGGCUUUCGGUGCGGCCAGCCUGGAGACCACAUCUUCGUCCUACAAACUGCUGGUGAUGAGAUCGGCCUCUCCACAGGCAACCCAGCUGAUGCUAUAUAUGCUCUAAGAGCUGAGAACUCAUGUCGUGGGAAAUAUCCUUAGUGUUCUAUUCCUCUGAACAACUGCCAUGGCUGGGCCCAGCGAUGUAAUUUGUGGGGGCCAGUGCAAAAGAAAAUAUGGCCCCAUGUUAAAAAAGGGUUAACGGUUUCAAGACAGCGAUAGCGGAGCCUUAGGCCAACCGCGGAGCCUUCGAGUGCAGCCCCUGAGCGACUGAACGUGUCACUCAGUCGUGGAGUUUGCUACAGUCAUGACCCCUCUAGAGCAUUUCAAGGUCACGUGCCUCCUUGUGUUCCUGAACACCGGGAGUCUCUUUGUUUUCAAAUGUAAGAGCCUGUCCAAGUUUGGUUACUGGGGAGGCGUGGGUCCCUUUGCCGUGGAUGGGUGCUUGACCAAUAUUCAUUCAAAAGCGAACAGGUAAGAUUGACGUGUGAAGAACUAAGGUGUGAGAGUCCCAGGCUUCUGUCUGCUGCACCCUUCUUUCUGUAUGCACGCUUUCCGUGUUCCCAAGGAGAGCCGCGGUUCACCAUUUCAUGUCUGUGUUCUUUGUUUUCAGAGCAGGAGCCCUUUACCUUGGUUAAGUGGCAUAAUCGUUCUGUGUCGCUUUCCUUGCAUGAUAAGUAGGGACCGCUCAGGGCGUUGUGUUGUGGAUCAAAGGAAAUGGCUCCCACAAUGUUCUUGGAAGAAGCGAAGUGAGCCGUUGAGAAAUUUUAUGGGCAAGGAGGGACAGACGCACAGGAUGAUGGGACUGGAUGGCCUCCAGAGUUCAUCCCGUUUUUGGUUCUUAACAUGUAUCAGAACCACUUGGAGAGUUUUCAAGAAACACAUGCCAAGUCCCCAGCCCCAGCAGUGCCAGAUUCAAGGUGUCCCGAAUGACAUUUGGCUUGAGAAGUUGGUAUUUUCAGGAGAUUCAAUUAAGCACUGCUGGGCUAGUGCACCUCCUACAUUUCAGACAGAAGGGAGCUAAGAGCUGGAAUCAUACCCUUCCAAAUUCAGAGGUCGAUUCCAGUUAGGGACAAAAAUAACAUUGACAGCUUGAGGAUUUCUGAAAAAAAAAUUUUUAACAUUUAUUUAUUUUUGAGAUAGAGACACAGAGUGAGAGCAGGGGAAGGGCAGAGAGAGAGGAAGACACAGAAUCCGAAGCAGGCUCCAGGCUCUGAGCUGUCUGCACGGAGCUCGACGUGGGGCUUGAUCUCAAGAACCGUGAGAUCGUGACCUGAGCUGAAGUCAGACGCUUAACCGACUGAGCCACCCAGGCGCCCCGAGGAUUUUUAAAAUGAUAAAAUCCCAUUGAUGCAAACGGUAAUGGUCAUACGGUUUGGGCUCACGUGACCAUUUUCCAGCAGAGUUGGUAAGUAAGAGAAUCGACUAACGUCAUACAGUUAGUAAAUGUUAGAAACAGGACUAGAACCUGGGUUACCUGAAUCUCGAAGCAGGUUUUCUUUCCAGUCUGUUCUCUUGUCUUCUGUUUGGCUUAGCGCUAAGUCUAUCUAGUCAGUGAAUUGAAUUGAUUAACUCCGGUGCCAGCAGUAUGGUCCGUCUUGAUGAGCAGCUCAUUUGCUUCUAAUUCCAAAGUUAAUGUUGACUUUGUUGGGAAGUUUGGAUUGAUUUCCAUUUUCCCUUACUGUGGAGGGCCAGAAUUGAGCACUCCCUGGGCUCAGAUGAUCAGUUUUUCUGGGGGAUAGGGGGCACAGUUCUCCAAAAAAGCAGCUGGUGAGAUGAUGUCCCUACUUUGUACCUUGGUUGUCUUUCUUGGUUGGGCCCUAGGGCACACGGCCGCCCAUCUCCCUGGUGACGCCACGGUGAUGAUGAUUUUUCCACUCCGUGUCACCAAAAUGUACAUGUGAUUUCCUAAGUGAAAGUGGCACUUUCGGAUUCCUUGAAAAUACUCGCUGUUUUAGCCAGGUUCACACCCUUCCACCUUUUCUCGAUGUCUUUGAUUAAACCCUGAAAAGGUCCUUUGCCCUGAAGGACAAACUGGGCUAAGGGCCCUUUUACGAACACACUCACCUCUGGAGUGAAACAUUUCCACCCUGUGAUUAAAUGCAGAUUGGUGCUUAAGAAUAAUUAGCCGAGGUGGCUUGUAAGCUAGCGGGUACCCUCACCUAAUGACUUCUUGGCUUUGCAAGAGGUGGAAUCACAUUCUCCUGACGGGAGGGAUCGAUUUUAGAUAGGAUCAAAAUAAACAUCCAUAAUUUGAGGAUGUUUUUAAAAAUAAAAUCAUAUCGAGGCAGAUGGAAAGGGACACAGGUUUUGAGUUCAUGUAAUCAUUUCCCAGCAGAGACCAAUUAGCUCUAGGCACAGGUCAGCAGAAUAAUUUUUCCUCCAGAAGGCAUGGGGAUAAGGGUCCGGGUUAUCCACAAACGCAGUGAGCCUGGCUCAGUAGCACGUGCCAUGGCAGAUUUCUUAGCCCUCGGCCUCCGCCAUCAGACAGGCUUCUCGGAUAACCUGUUAUUCACGGUCCCCUGUUGCUCUGAAUGCUAACAACUGCCACAGCCAAACCCUUCUGCGUCAGGCCCUGUAGGAGACGCUUGGGGUGUUUUAUUUUCAUUUAAUUCACACGGCCCCUCUGUGAGAAAGGUAGGGCUAUCAUCAUUUUACACAUGGGGAAACUGAGGCACAGAGAGAUUAAACUACCCAAGAUUACAAAGCUAAUAAAUGGCCAGCUUACGAGUCCAUAGCAUUUGUCCGAAAAGUGCUGGAUAACAGAAUGUGGCUGCGUCAGCAUAAACUCCAACAGGAGCAGGUAAACGGUUCACUAACUGCCUUACCGUGGCUGAAUCCGUUGCGUCUUUAGAAAGGGACAGAAUAGGGGGCGCCUGGGUGGCGCAGUCGGUGAAGCGUCCGACUUCAGCCAGGUCACGAUCUCGCGGUCCGUGAGUUCGAGCCCCGCGUCGGGCUCUGGGCUGAUGACUCAGAGCCUGGAGCCUGUUUCCGAUUCUGUGUCUCCCUCUCUCUCUGCCCCUCCCCCGUUCAUGCUCUGUCUCUCUCUGUCUCAAAAAUAAAUUAAAAAAACGUUAAAAAAAAAUUAAAAAAAAAAAAGAAAAGAAAGGGACAGAAUACAGCAGCGAAUGCGCCAAUGUCUGUGUCGUGAGCCGCUGCAUCUGAAAGGGACAGUCAUGCCCCUCCCCGCUCCACGUGUAUCUCUGAACAGUAAUGAAGUUCACAUCCUUUAGAUUCAUAGGACUUGGGAAAAAAAGUUCAAUUACUGUUUGUAUAAUAAAGGGACUGAAAACUUGUCAACCAACCUGCAAUGAACACUUUCCGUUACAGGGUCUCUGAAAAGAGAGACAAAAAGAGGGAAAAUGUCGUGUCAUCUAAGAUACCCCCGUUUGCAUUUUGGUAUAUGUUCCCAUAAUUCUUUCCUCUGUUACAUGUACUCGUUGUCUAUGGCUGCGUAACAGAUGGUCCUAAAACGAGUGGCUUAAAAACACUGUUAUUUCAAAGUUUCUGCCGGUCGAGCCUCCCAGGGCGGUUUACCUGGGGGGCUUUGAUGGCCUCUCUCAUGAUGCCGCAGCCAAGCUGUCGGCCAGGGCUUCUUCAAGGCUCGACUGGGGAAGGAUCCGUUUUUGAGCUCACGCACGUGGUCGUCGGGGGGCCUCGGUCUCUCGGCGCGAGUCGGCUUUCCACGGGCUGCCUCAGUGUCCACACACAUGGCAGGUGCCUCUCCAUUAGGCAGGAUGGCCUUUCGGGAGGGUUGUCUCCAGAACGAGUGGAGGAGCGGCAGGAAGUGCGGGGAGAGACUGAACCCCCACAUGGACACGGCAGUCCGUGUUAGAGUCGACAUUCCUCUACUGCUACCGGGUUCUGCCCACGAGAAGCAAGUCGCUGAGUUCCACUCGGGCUCCAGGAAGGAGGGAUUACGUUCCAUUCUUGAAAAGUAAGGAGUAGCAGAGAAGGUGUGGGCAUCCCUCGGAAACCAGCACGCCGUAUCUUUAAAAUAUGUACGAUUGUAGUACAUAUACAGUUGCCUUUUAUCUUUUUAAAUAUUUAUUUAGAAAGGGAGAGCAAGGGAGGGGCAGAGAGAGAGAGAGGGAGACAGAGAAUCCCAAGCAGGUUCUGCACUGUCAGCACAGAACCCGACGCAGGGCUCCAACCCACAAACUGUGAGAUCAUGACUUGAGCCGAAAUCACGUGUCCAACGCUUAACCAACUGGGUCACCCAGGUGCCCCCUUUUUUUCCCUUUUAACAUAAUGAAAAAAAAUGUUCCACAGCUGCACACUAUACCAUAAAGUGGAUUUUCAUAAUUUCCCCCAAUACAUAGCUCUACAUAUGUACAUACAUACAUUCUUGUCGUAGGUCAAAAGUCUAUUACCAGAAGUGAUGUUGGAUACACAUUUUUGGUCCUAGUUCUUUGUAUUAUUUCACAGGGAUAGAUCUCUGCAGGUGUGAAAACAGGGUCAAAGUCAUGGCUGUCUUUUAGGAACCUUUUUAUACUUCUUGCUAUUUCCCCUUCUUUGUUUAAAAAAAUGUUUAUUUUUGAGACAGAGAGAAAGAGAAAGAGAGAGAGUGUGUGUGUGUUAGUGUGUGUGUGUGAGGGGGGAGGGGUAGAGAGAGAGGGGGACAGAGGAUCUGAAGCAGGCUCUGAGCGGAUAGCCGAGAGCCCGAUGCAGGGCUCGAACUCACAAACCAUGAGAUCGUGACCUGAGCCGAAGUCUGACGCUUAACUGACUGAGCCUCCCAGGUGCCCGGCUAUUUACCUUUCUUAAGGGCUUGGGCCAGUUUAUACUCCCACCUGCCAUGUAACAGAUCUGCGGUAGCAGUUAAAAAUCAUGUUGUAAAUCUUGCAGUGACAUAUCUACUUCGCGCAAUGACUCCUUUACCCUCCAAGAGCCCUGACUGACAUCCUGGGUCACAUAGGCAGAUACUGACACUCAGAUUUAUAAUAAGCAGAUAGGUUUGGCUAAAUAAAAUUGUAACAAUAACGCAACAAUAUAGUGUUACCUCCGUGUACAGAUAGAAAAUUUAUUCUUCAUUUCACUGGAAAGUUUUAUUUAUUUAUUUUAUUUUCGUUAUUACGUUUUUAAAGAUUUUAUUUUUAAGUGAUCUCUACACCCUGCAUGGGGCUCAAAACUUACAACCCCAGGAUCAAGAGUCGCAUGCUCUACAGACUGAAUCAGCCAGGAUCCCUUCAGUGGAAAAUCUUAAAAAAUGUAUUGCUGAGGUAGUCAAACUGCUGCUAAUACAGUUUUUAAAUAUCUCCUUCCCAAACUCUAGUUGUUAUGAAAAGGGCUGUUUGCUUAGUUCUUAAAAAUAAUUGUUUGAUGAGGAAACUAUGAUUGCAACUUAGUUCUUUCUGUUAAUGUCACAGCUUCAUUGAGUUGCAAUUCACAUAUCAUACAAUUCAUUUUUUUUUAGCACAUUCACAGAAUUGUAGACACACAAUAACAGAUCAUUUUCAUUACCCUAAAAAGAAACCCAGUACCCAUCUGCAGUGUGACUUAAUUCCUUUAUUUUAAAAAGAUAUUGUAACAAAUACCUUUUUUUUUAUGGGUACCUGAAACAGUUUUUCUGUCUUUUUGUGAUCUGAUUACAAAUAUGGAGUGUGAGUGACCUCAGAACAUUCCAGAAAAUCUGUUGUCCGACACGGGAACAAAAGUCAACCCUCUGAAUCUGAUGCCAUUGUUCUUGGUUUAAAAGGAUAAGCCCUUUACUUCCAUUUUGCUCGUACUGGGGAGUUAAAGAUUUUUUUUUUUUUUUUAACCUCUGAAAGGUUGUAUGUUUCAGACACAUGGGGCAUAUUCUAGCAAACGUCUUGAUGAAAUUUUUAAUAGAAAGUUAGGCCACAUGCUGAAAAAAAGGAGUUGUAGGCAAUCGGCAAUAUGCCUGGCAUCUCUUUACUGGCCAGAAUUUAAACGUAUCUCGAACAGUCGAUUUCUCUUAAAUUCUGGUGAUUUCACUUUUAGGUCAACGAAAUCACUGCCUACUGGUGUCAAUAGCAAAAUAAUGAAAAAAGAAACCCUUUUGCCCACAAACAGAAUGGAAUGUCAGCUUGUGACCCGGGGCCUCUGAGGGGGGCAGGGGGGUGUAAUUCACUUCCUCCAAAAGCAGAGGACGCCAAUUUCCUCCCCAGGAGGUCAGUAGCACGAGGUGUAGGGUUACCAUGGAGUCUAGAUUCCGAGAGAAGUUUGAAACGUAAUUGCCCUGCUGGUUUUGUUUAGCCACAAGGUUACUGUUAGAUGUAGGGCAAUAAUGAGGAAAUAAUAGUGGAAUGGGCCUGAGUUGACCCCUGCAGAGAAAGAUGAACUUUUUUUUUUUCUUUAAUACAGGGGGGGUGGUCAUUAUAGAUCGCCCUUUCUUCCAAAUCCAUUUGGCAUUGGUGGUCAACUGAAUGAGGCCAGGAUUCUUAGGUCAGUCCAUUUCCCGGAAUCACGAGACAUAAAUCAAAGCCGAGCAUGGAAACUUCAGACUGUCUGUGACUCUGCACGUCUAUAAAUGGGGAUGAGAGCUUCCGCCCUGGCCCUUGGGCAGAUGCCUGCCUAUUUGUAUUCAGUGAUUGAAUUGGGGUCCUGGUGACAUAAUCUGUGCUGAUUUCCCAGCAGUAAAUAAUUCUAAUGAGAAGACUGCUAUAGAGCCCAAAGCUAUAGAUAUUUCCAUAACGUAAGCCAAUAAGCCGAGCAGGAGAGACCCUUUAAGGCCAGCCGAGGACACCCACACAGUGAGACCCUUUUUUGCCAGCUAAGGAAACCCACACACAUCUUGCAGGAGACUCAGACAUUGCCUGCCUGUAAUUCCUUCUAGUGGAGAGAAAGCAGAGGCUGUUCUGUCCCUUUUACUGAUUCUUUACCUGAACUUGAACCCACAUUGAAACACUUGAAAAUUUUGAUAAAGGUAACUUUCCUGGUCUCAAAAUAGAAAUGUAGAUUUUGAAAGCCAGACAGUGUUUUAAAAUGAAUUCUUCUGGAAAAACAGCUCUUGUCAAAGCAAAAUGGCUCUGUUCAAGGGAUGUAGAAACAGUGCAGAAUUUUCCACCUCUCUGAAAGGUCAGAAGACUCUCUCUUUGAGAUUAGACUUGUGGUCACUGGUUAUUGGCCCAAUCUAAGGUCAAAAUCUUGAGUUUCUGGAAAGACUUUGUAAAAUUUCAAAGUAUUCUUAUUAUUGCCCCUUUGCAAGAAAACCUGUGUGCUCACAUUCCCUUGUCAAUCUCUCAUUCAGAUUUUAUUUAUUUAAAAUUUUUUUUUAGUGCUUAUUUUUGACAGAGAGAGACAGAGCAUGAGCAGGGGACAGGCAGGGAGAGAGGGAGACCUAGAAUUCGUGGCAGGCUCCAGGCUCUGAGCUGUCAGCACAGGGCCCAAUGCGGGACUCGAACUCAUGAACUGCGAGAUCAUGACCUGAGCCGAAGUUGGGCACUUAACCGACUAAGCCACCCAGGUGCCCCUUUUAUUCAGAUUUAAAAAAUCAAUUAAAAAAAUCAGCAUCUAGAAUUUUUCUUAAUAAUGGAGACAUUUCUAUUUUAUCUUAUUUUAUCUUAUUUUAUUUUAUUUUAUUUUAUUUUAUUACGUGUUUAUUCAUUUUUGAGAGAGAGAGUGAAUGAGUGGGGUAGGGGCAGAGAGAGGGGAACAGAAGAUCCAAAAGUGGGUUUCUGAUGUGGGGCUCAAAUUCACAAACCCUGAAUUUAUGACUGGAGCUGAAGCUGGGGCUUAACCUACUGCGAAACCCAGGCACCACCCCCCUUUUUUUUGCAGACAGUUCAAUAUUAUAUAAAAUCUGCAUCUUCUAUCAUAGAAUGUAUUUUGAUCAGGAAACAGCCCUUUUGGAGAAUGCAGUUUGAUAAUAAUAAUAAUACCAGCCCUGCUCAAUUCAAAAUGCCAUUUUGAAGAGCAAAGGGUAACAUUUAAAAAGUGUUAGACUAUAGUCAGUGUUUUCUUUUGUCUGUUAUUAAUCUUCAUACUGUUAAGGAACACACUGUGAAAUGUGUUCUCCUGCUGUCCUAAAAUUUUAUAAGAAACUUCAGUAUUUUGGAAGCAUAGCCAUUUGUGAUGUCUUCAAGUAUCUUCCGAGCAAUCUUUGAGGGCUCAGCAAAGAUAUUUAGACCAGCAGGUUCAGUCUUGCUUUUUAUCUUUUACUUGAUAUUGUAAUAGACAGGAAAAUAGGGUUGCCAGAGAGAUCCAGGAGUAUUGUUACUGUUUCCCUGGCACUUCCUCCAUGGGACUGUGAUAUUAGCAAAGGUGUGUAAUUUACUUGUGGUCAGCGGCUAAAUGGCCAAGUACCGCUGAAACAGACAUCUGAGAAAUAUUUGGCACAUCCCAAUGGCCUUUUAAAAUAGCCCAAGAUGGGGGCACCUGGGUGGCUCGGUCUGUUGAGCGUCCUAUUCUGCUCAGGUCACGAUCCCACAGUUUGUGAGUUGGAGCCCCACAUCAGGCUCACUGCUGUCAGCGCAGAGCCCGCUUCAGAUCCUCUGACCUCUCUCUCUCUCUGCCCCUCCCCCGCGCGCGCGCGCGCGCGCGCACGCACACACACACACACACACACACACACACACAGUCUCUCUCUCUCUCUCAAAAAUAAAUAAAACAUUGAAAAGAAAAAUAGCCCCAAACGGCAGAACUCCAUCUAGCAGGAUGGAGUUGGAGGUCCCCAUAGCAACUCUUCAAACCUCUCUCCACGCAAAGGUUGAACUUGACUCUGACUUUGGGAACGCUGCGUAUCGAUUGUUACUGUCUUUCUAUGACCACUGAACUUAGCUCACGCCCUCAGCUUGGCUCUUGCCUCUCAGUCCAGAUGUGCUGUGCUGGCUACUCUCUGUGUGAACUCUUGGGGGUGGGCCUGCUUUUUUUCUUUCUGGCUUCAUGGGGCUGCAUUCAGCAAUUCAUGCCUAAUUACUGACCUUGGUCAGGGAAACACUCCUCUUUGGUUGGAUUUACCUAAUAAUAGUCAAGCCCACUGGUUUACUUUAAGCUGACAGGCCUGAUGUAGAGAAAUGGGUUCUAAUAACGUAGAAGCAAGGAGAAAGGGUUGUUGAUCCAUCGGGAAUGGAGAAGUUCAGCAGGCAAGCUUGGAUUGCUUUAAAGGGCAGUUAGGCACCUGGGGACGUAGUCUUUCUUUCUUCCUUUCCCCCUUUCCCCCUUCCUUCCUUUCUUUUUUCCUUCCUUCCUUCCUUCCUUCCUUCCUUCCUUCCUUCCUUCCUUCCUUCCUCCUUCUUUUCAAUUUCUUUCUUUCUUUCUUUCUUUCUUUCUUUCUUUCUUUCUUUCUUUCUUUCUUGUUUCUUUCUUUCUCUCUUAGUUUGGGGUUGGAGAUGAAGGAAUUGGUGAUCUGUACAAUAAGUUAAUUUCCAGCAUUGUGGAGAUUUUUAAAAACAGCUACUUUAUGUUGUCUAAUUCUCAAUCAAGUGCUUCAAAUAGUGCAGAAAGACUGUUAUAAGUUAAAUCGUAUCCUCCCAAAAUAUGUUGGAGUCCUCACCCUCAAUAUCUCUGAAUGUGACCUUAUUUGGAGAUAAGGUAUUUAUACAGGUAAUCAUACUAAGAUAAGGUCUUUAGGGGAGGUCCUAAUGCCAAUGACUGGUGUCCUUACAUAAAUGGGAAAUGUGGACACAGAGAUGCAUAGAAGGAAGAUGAUGUUCAGAAGGGAAGGUGGCCAUCUAUCUGCACGUCAGGGGGAGAGGCCUCAGAAGGAACCAACCCUGAAGGCACCUUGAAUUCAGACUUCCUUAGUCUGAAUUCAUAGUUCCUCCAGAACUAUGAGGAAAUAAAUGUCUGUUGUUUAAGCCAUUCAAUCUGUGGUAUUUUGCCACAGCAACCCAAGAAAAUUAAUGUGAAGACCUAUGAAGGAUUUUGAUUAUAGUACUGAAAGGAGACUUGUGAAUAUUGAAAACUUGGGUAUCAACCAAUUAAGGUUUCUAAAAAGGAGGUGGGGGCACCUGGGUGGCUCAGUCAGUUAAGCAUCUGACUUCUGCUCAGGUCGUGAUCUCGCCAUGCCGAGCCCCCGCGUCGGGCUCUGGGCUGACAGCUUGGAGUCCGGAGCCCGCUUCCGUUUCUGUGUCUCCCUCUCUCUCUGUCCCUCCCUUGCUCGUGCUCUGUCUCUCUCUGUCUCUCAAAAAUAAAUAAACAUUAAAAGAAAUUUGAAAAAAAAGAAGGAGGUGAAUAGAAUAAAGAAGUUUGAAAACACAGAUGUUUUUUUUUUUUUUUUUUUUUCAACGUUUAUUUAUUUUUGGGACAGAGAGAGACAGAGCAUGAACGGGGGAGGGGCAGAGAGAGAGGGAGACACAGAAUCGGAAACAGGCUCCCGGCUCCGAGCCAUCAGCCCAGAGCCCGACGCGGGGCUCGAACUCACGGACCGCGAGAUCGUGACCUGGCUGAAGUCGGACGCUUAACCGACUGCGCCACCCAGGCGCCCCUGGAUGGUUUUUAAAAUACAAGAUAUGAUCUGUAGGGCAGAUCCAUGACUCAAGACCAGCCCAAGCCAAACUACCACUUUGUAUAAAGAGAAUGACUAAGGUGAGAGCAAUCCCUCCUCUUGGGUCGGGCUUUUUGGGUGCUGCUCCAAUCGCACCAGUGGGUUUGCUGAGCCUGGGGCCAUGUAGGCAAGUUCUCUCUUACUUUCUUUCUGGUUCCUGGAGUUUAUUUUUUUUUUCACCGUCCUUUGGGAAAUAGCAGUUGCAUGGGCAUUUUGAAGAAUGCCCAUCAGGGUAUAUCUAGGGCUACCUUUUCAUGGGCUAAAGAGGCAGCAAAGGGAUCAGGAAUCAUAAAGAAAAUCCACACAGCCUAGCUUUUAUUCUUCAACAGACAUUUCCAGCGUGCCUGUUCUGUUGCAGGAGCUGGCUGGAUCUGGGGGCCAACGCGUGGCUGAGUAAAAACUGUGGAGUCCCCUGCUCACAUGGCACUUAGAUCUAUUAUUUCAGAAGCAAGCUUGGACCUGAGCAGCUUGUGGGGGGGGGGGGGGGGGUUCAGAUUCAAGAGGCAAGAAAAGACAACCUUUUAGUACUUUGAGUGGUGGCUGGCUGGGGAGAAAAUGGUGAGGGCAAGAAAUGGGGAAUGUUUGGAGGGCUGGUCAGAUAAGGGCCCUCAAUCCCUGCCCUUGAGUCAGCUCAGGCUCUUCCGAAUCCACGUGCUUCCAUGGUUAGCUUCCCUCUGUAGGAAACUGGCCUCGUCUUCAGGGGAAUUGUGAGUUCUGGAAGAGAGGGAUGGGCUUGGAAUAGCAAUGUCUGUGUCCCCAUUGCUGUCUUCCCUGUGCGUGAGAAGGAAAGGCGUGAGCCCCGAGACUGGGGGAGAAGCAAGUUUUCUCUGAUAUAUUUCAUUUGAAAAGUAAAAUGUAUCCGUUUGUUUCUAGAUUGUUCUUUCCUCCCACCUUAAAGAAAAUUCAUUUCUGAAAGUGUUUUUUUUUUUUUUCCCCUUCUGCCGAGCAGCUUUUUAUCUAGAAACAAAGGCGAGCCUUUAAACAGGUGUUGCAAUAUGUACACUUUCAGGCAUGAAAAUGGAGUCUUGAAGAAUCUUGUAGAUACUUGUGAGCUUCAGGAAACCCUGGCCCAGCAUUACCUCAUACUCUACAAAAGCCAGAAGGGGCCAAGUCUCAAUGGAGAGCCCACAGACACAGUGCAGGUACAGCCUAAGCAUGUCUAUGGUUUCAGAUUUCUCAGAUUUCUAUGGCUCUGUCGCAGGGAGCUUUUACCCCGCUGGGGGGUUGCUGGGAAAAUCUUCCGAGGCCACCAGGAGGCCCAACAGUGCUCAGGAACUUCUGGAAGGCAUGAAGCUGGGAGGCGCUGAGUCCCAACCCCAAGACAGGCCUUGAUUUCCCCCGGGCUGUUAGGUACCUGGUCUGAGUCCUCCCCUUCCUGCCUCUCCCUUUUCCCUUCCUCUGCUACCCACACAUUUGUGCUUUCUAGCAAGGCACCCUGGUUGUAAGCAUCUGUUUGACUUAGCCCUUCAAGACUCCUGUUAAAUUAAACAAGGUGGCUCACAGACCGAGGUGACUCUAAUGCCACGGUGGCCUAUGUAAGCCAACCACAAGCUAAGCCAGUAAAUGCCCCAGUGUUCUGAAAUCCAAACCCUAAUGACGAUCAAUCCCGGACAGCCAACGAGGCUUUCAGCUACAGCCAAUCAAAGAAUUUCCUUUCUUUAUUUCCGAACUUCAUAAAUCUUUCCUCUAGCUCCUGUCUGGGGAGUGCUCCCUGACCACUUCUGGUUCGGUGCUGCCUGAUUGCGAUCGAUUUUUGCUCAACCAAACUCUUCGGAAAACAUUUUCAAUAUGUCUCAGUUUCUCUUUUAACACCCCCGAUCUGAACUUUCUACCUGGGAAUUCGAGAACAACAGAACUGUCACACCUGAUGGACGCUCCAGCCAAAGAGCUCUUUUUUUUUUCUUUUUCUUUCUGUAUUGUAGCAGCUUUCCACUACCUACUUGGUAUCUUAGAAUGAUCUAGAAAGGCGAAGGAAGCCAGAGAACCCUUAAACCUGAGGAAGGAGGCUGACUUGAACUUUCAGUCAUUUGAUCACUGCAGAGAGCCCGUGCAUGUGCUCAGUUCGGGACCUUAACCAUUUAGCAGGGAAGAGAAAAUCCAAGCGGCUAAAAGACAAUGCAGUACAGUGUCAUAGAGCUGCUCCCAAGAUGCCAGGGGCACCUGUAUGGGGCCUGGGGAUAGAAGAGCAGAAAAAAAGAUGCUUAACGACCUGGAGAACAUGGCAUGUCCUGCAGAGUGGAAGGGGUGGGGGCAGGGUGGCCGGUAGGGAGAAUAUGACGAGGUAGGGGCAGGAAUGAGGGCAGGAAGGGUAGACGGGGCAGAGACCAGAAGGAGCCUUGUGUGGACCGGAACUUUACCAUACAGUUGAUGAGCCACACGGGAGGAACACAGGGUCAGGUUCGUGUUUCAGGGAGAGCCUGUUGAUAGCACGUUGGAGAUAGAUUGGAGCUCAGGGAGCCUGGGGGGAGGGGGGUAGGAACAAGGCCGUGAAGGUCCCAGUGAUUCAUGGAUUCAGGUGUGGGCAAUGUGACCUCAGGUAGGUCUCUUAUUGUCAUGUCAGGAGCAUUCGCCCUGUCACCUUGACCACCUCUGAUAGGACACACUCGACUUAAUUCCAGAUUGACCGGACCAGUGGUUCAAUAAGCAUACUAGUGGCUUUCCUGUGUAUCUUAACUGUGACACUCAAUAUUCUGGUUUCAUAGCCCACAGAAAACAGACUGGUCACGGGGAUCGUCCCUGGCGAUGGGGACACAGCAGUGAGUGAAUUGGACUAAAGUCGCUUUCCUGGAAGAGCUUGCAUACUACUGGGGUGAUGCAGGAACAUAAGUAAUCCACAUUAGACUAGGUAGCAAGGAAGUCCCAGGAUGAAGGGGGCUUACAAUUUCUUCCUUCCUUCCUUCCUUCCUUCCUUCCUUCCUCUUUCUUUCUUUCUUUCUUUCUUUCUUUCUUUCUUUCUUCCCAUGUUUAUACAUUUUUGAGAGAGAGAGAGACAGACCAAGCACGAGCAGGGGAGGGACAGAGAGCGAGGGAGACACAGAAUCCGAAGCAGGCUCCAGGCUCUGAGCUGUCAGCACAGAGCCUGAUGUUCGGCUCAGACCCACAAACCGUGAGAUCAUGACCUGAGCUGAAGUCUCCCACUUAACUGACUGAGCCACCCAGGCAUCCCAGGGCUUGCAAUUUCAAGAGGCAUCAGAACAGCUUCAAUGAGGUGAUAAUUUUAACAGAUAUGAUCCCUGAGAUCUUCACUUCAAGGGUUAAGUUGUCUAAGGGGAGGCCACCUGUGAUCCAACAGUGUUUGCAGAGAAUCUUGGGACCCUAAUGGUGCCAGAAGGUUCUGCUUUCUGUCUCCAGAGUGGGCCGCCAUGUUGGCUAAACAAGACGUACCCCUGGUAACCUUGCUGGAAAGAGGUUCUAAUAACUACUCUCCAUUUCUCAGCUCGGAGCUGCCCUUGAGUAUUUCAAACAACUCACCACUCCCUCCUCCCUCCUUGGGCUGGCCCCCAAUUUAUUUACUAAAAAAAAUGUUCAGCUCAGCUGUAGCAUCUGUUUCCCAGUGAGGCCCCUGUUUCUUACUCAAUUUCCCAGCUGGUUUGACUUAUCAGGACACAAGCAGGUCACCUGACUGGCCCAAGGCCACACAGUGAGCAAAGGGUUCAGCCGAACAUAAACCCGACCUUAUUAUUAUUUUUUUAGGUUACACAGUUUCUGGAAACUCCAUAGUUGUGGCAGAUGGGACGUUAACCGCAUUCACUGACAACUUAACACAAGGAGCCUCGGCGCAGAUCGCUUCAUCUGGUUCAAGGAGUAUGCGCGAACUGGAUAUGAAAGCAGGGAAAUGCCCCCCCGAUUAAGAGGCCAUUUUGCACAUGACUUGACGGCUGCCUUAAUCAGAUGCCACAGUUCCAGGGCAGCAGCAUUUUGGGUUGGCAUCUUCUUCAAAGACCACACCUCAGGAGCUCAGCCUUGCCUGAUUAAAUUAUCUUUUCUUUUCCAGCCCGCUUCUCCACGUCCGCCCUCCCC
rnacentral:lncRNA from 1 species